ACCUAAGUUUGUUAUUCGUAUGAGCUUUCAUGUGCAUGCACACUUCUUCAGAUCUGAAGAAGUGUGCAUGCACAUGAAAGCUCAUAACAGUAACAAACUUAGUUGG
rnacentral:miRNA from 1 species